GCUGGUCUGCGUGGUGCUCGGGUGGAUAAGUCUGAUCUGAGCACCACACAGGCCGGGCGC
rnacentral:pre_miRNA from 1 species